AGAGUAAGUCAGCUUAAUCCAGAUAGAUGCUUUGCUUGUGAGCAAAAAUACUAAGACUGGAACGGAGGAACCAAAUAUUGGGGCGUAUUUCAAAAAUCGAUUGUGGCAAUUACAACCAUGAUCUGAGUGAAAAGGGUAUCUCUCAACCCUAGCCCGUCAGCUAACUUCGUAAGCGUUGAGAGGAAAC
rnacentral:sRNA from 2 species